GGGGCCUUAGCUCAGCUGGGAGAGCGCUUGUAUGGCAUACAAGAGGUCAGGAGUUCGAUCCUCCUAGGCUCCA
rnacentral:tRNA from 2 species